rnacentral:rRNA from 1 species
GUCGGUGAAUAGCCGCGCGGGGUGACGGUACCUUCACAAGAAGCACCGGCUAACUACGUGCCAGCAGCCGCGGUAAUACGUAGGGUGCAAGCGUUGUCCGGAAUUAUUGGGCGUAAAGAGCGUGUAGGCGGCUUGAUAAGUCUGCUGUGAAAGUCCAGGGCUCAACCCUGGAAAGCCGGUGGAUACUGUCGAGCUAGAGUCCGGAAGGGGCGAGUGGAAUUCCUGGUGUAGCGGUGAAAUGCGCAGAUAUCAGGAGGAACACCAAUGGCGAAGGCAGCUCGCUGGGACGGUACUGACGCUGAGACGCGAAAGCGUGGGGAGCAAACAGGAUUAGAUACCCUGGUAGUCCACGCUGUAAACGAUGGGCACUAGGUGUGGGGGGUGUCGACUCCCCCUGUGCCGAAUCUAACGCAUUAAGUGCCCCGCCUGGGGAGUACGGCCGCAAGGCUAAAACUCAAAGGAAUUGACGGGGGCCCGCGCAAGCAGCGGAGCAUGUGGUUUAAUUCGACGCGACGCGAAGAACCUUACCUGGGCUUGACAUGUGAGUGACAGGUUUCCCU